GACGUAGGAGGCGAGCGUUAUCCGGAUUCACUGGGCGUAAAGCGCAUGUAGGCGGUUCGAUCCGUCCGCUGUUAAAGCCCCCGGCUCAACUGGGGGAGGUCAGUGGAGACUAUUGGACUUGAGGGCAACAGAGGCACGUGGAACUCCCGGUGUAGCGGUGGAAUGCGUAGAGAUCGGGAAGAACACCAGUGGCGAAGGCGACGUGCUGGGUUGCGACUGACGCUGAGAUGCGAAAGUGUGGGGAGCAAACGGG
rnacentral:rRNA from 1 species